GAUGAACGCUGGCGGUGUGCCUAAUACAUGCAAGUCGAGCGAACAGACGAGGAGCUUACUCCUCUGACGUUAGCGGCGGACGGGUGAGUAACACGUGGAUAACCUACCUAUAAGACUGGGAUAACUUCGGGAAACCGGAGCUAAUACCGGAUAACAUGUUGAACCGCAUGGUUCAACAGUGAAAGACGGUCUUGCUGUCACUUAUAGAUGGAUCCGCGUCGCAUUAGCUAGUUGGUAAGGUAACGGCUUACCAAGGCAACGAUGCGUAGCCGACCUGAGAGGGUGAUCGGCCACACUGGAACUGAGACACGGUCCAGACUCCUACGGGAGGCAGCAGUAGGGAAUCUUCCGCAAUGGGCGAAAGCCUGACAGAGCAACGCCGCGUGAGUGAAGAAGGUCUUCGGAUCGUAAAACUCUGUUAUUAGGGAAGAACAAAUGUGUAAGUAACUAUGCACGUCUUGACGGUACCUAAUCAGAAAGCCACGGCUAACUACGUG
rnacentral:rRNA from 1 species